UACUAGUCAAGUUCAUUAACCACUGAGCCAUGACGGGAAUUCCUGUUGCUGGAAAGGUUGGGUUAGUAAGUGUGAAAAUGCUUGAACAAGUACAGAAGAGCCGUUAUUAUUGGCUGCAAUCAUUCCUAAGCUGCAAUGAUUACUGCGUUAGGUAAGAGGGCUUCCCAAGGGGAGGGACAUCCUGGAGGGUGCGGGGGGCUGGAGCUCAGGAGCAAGGUCUGGGUCGGUGAUGAGUCUGGAAACCAUUGGUUGAGAUCCGAUGGGAGCAUGAGGAGAAAGGAGAAAAAUGGACCUGGGCUGGGUCCCAGGGAAGCGCCCGUGUUGGCGAAAAGGCAGCCUGGAGAGGAGCGUGAUCCAGAUCACAGGCUGCUGUCAAGUCACACAGAGCGAGGGACGAAAUGAGGAAGUCUCCCGAUCUGCCUACAGAAGCUGUUGGUGACCCUGGAGUGUGCCAAGCCAGGGGGCAGGGGAGGGGCCGGGGCAGCAAUGCCACCUGGUGCCGAGCGGCCCAGAGGAGACCUCGGAUACGGCGUGGCUGGAGGAGAGCCCUGGAAUUGCUGGUGAGGAAGAAUAUUUGCGAGAGCGAGGACGUGGGUUCCGCGCCUGAUGGCUGGACGAGGUCAGGAUACUGGAAGGGGAAGACUCCAUCUCUUCUCUGAAGCCACUCAACAGACUUCCAGGAUGCUUCGGAGCAAAGCCAAGACAUGUUAAGUCUUGUACGGAAAGCCUGCGGGACAGGAAGUGCCCCCUGAGGCCCUUACCUCGACCCCUCCAGCUGGACCACGCUCUGCCCGAAGCCAUUUGCAUUUUCCUGGAAGACGACUGCAUUUUCCGUGUCCAGGUUGAACCCAUGACUUAAGGCCAAGGCUGGAAGGAGAACAAGGGGGUGGGAGUCAGGAAGAGAUACGGAGACAAGUUAAGAAAGCCCUCCUGCCCCGAGCAUCUUCCUGCCAGGAUUCACCCUAACCCAGCACGGAGAUGGGGGCCUCCAGGGCCAGCCCUUACAGCCUGUAGCAGAGGGCACCACACGUCUGUCUGUCUGUCUGUCUGUCUGUCUGUCUGUCUUCCUUUCUUUCUUUCAUUUUGCCACACCAUAUGAGAGUGCUGGGGCCAGGGAUCAAAUCCGAGCCACAGCUCCAACCUAGCCUACGGCAACACCAGAUCCUUAACCCACUUCACCUCCGAGGGAACUCCCACACGUGUUGUAUAAAUGACCAGAGAGUAAAUAUUUCGGGCCUUGUGAACCAAGAGAAUCUCUUGCAUGGAUACUUAAUAUAAAAAAGAGGAAAUAUUUUCCCAUAAAUUUUUCCAUUAAGGAAACUCAAAAUAUAACAUUCAAGUACCAUUGUAAAAUAAAUUAACUGAUGAGACCAACGAAAUUCUUUGGGAUAGAUAACAUUUCACGCCACCAGGAUAAAAUUAGUGUCCCUGUCAUGAAUAGAUUCUAAAUGUUCACCUGGGACCUAUGGCUCCAAGUUGUACAAAAACACAUGCCACUGUGUCCUGGCCUUAUGCCCACAGUCUACAGCUUGCCAACUCCUGGCCUAAGCACCACCAGCGUGGGAUGUAAUGGAAAAAAAUUUCCCGUACUGAGGUAUAGGGAAGUCAUUCUGGCUUAUACAUGAUUUAACUUGAAUUUUACACUAAAACAGCCUGUUUGUAGCCUGUCAAACAUACAUUGUGCAUUUGCUUUAAUCAUGAAAGAAAAAGGUUCAUUGUCCAAGAGAACAGUGUGCCCAUGUUAAAAACAAAGAUGAAAUGCUUCCCUUCCUGGGACUCAAAUGCUGGUAUUCCUUCAAUGAUAAAACUCCCUGGGAGUUCCCACUGUGGUGCAACAGGAUUGGUGGCAUCUUGGGAGCGCUGGGACAACGGUUCAAUCCCCGGCCCGGCACAGAGGCUUAAUUUAAGGAUCCAGCGUAGCCGCAGCUGCAGCACAGGUUACAACUCUGGCUCAGAUCUGAUCCCUGGCCCAGAAACUCCAUAUGCCACAGGGUGGCCAAAAAUGACAAAAAAAUAAAGAAAGAAAGAAAGAAAAAAAAAAAAAAAAAGACUCCCUUCCCCAGGGCCAAGGCCAUACUGACUCACUUAUGUACCUGUGGAUCUGUUUCGUGUUUUCUUUUUUCUUUUUUGAAAUCCUGAAGAAAUGUCUCCCUGACUUGUUUAAUGUUCUUUGUUCUGACAUGAUAUAAAACUGUGCUGAAGGGGAGUUCCCUUCCUGGUGCAGCAGAAAUGACUCCGACUAGAAUCCAUCAGGAUGUGGGUUCAAUCCUUGGCCUCGCUCAGUGGGUUAAGGACCCAGUGUUGCCAUGAGAUGUGGUGUAGGUCGCAGAUAUGACUCGGAUCUGCCAUUUCUGUGGCUGUGGUGUACCCCAGCAGCUGUAGCUCUGAUCUGACCCCUAGCCUGCGAACUUCCAAGUGCCGUGGGUGCGGCCCUAAAAAACAAAACAAAACAAAACAAAACAAACAAAAACAAAACUGCUGAAGAUCUUGCUUCUCUGGAACAGUUCCUCAGAGGUCUCUGAGGGGCUGCCUCUUAGGCUAUGUCCUCAGUUUGGCUCAAAAAAAAAAAAAAAAACUUCUUUUCUAUUCCUAUUAUA